rnacentral:rRNA from 1 species
AGUGAACGCUGGCGGUAGGCCUAACACAUGCAAGUCGAACGGCAGCACAGUAAGAGCUUGCUCUUACGGGUGGCGAGUGGCGGACGGGUGAGGAAUACAUCGGAAUCUACUUUUUCGUGGGGGAUAACGUAGGGAAACUUACGCUAAUACCGCAUACGACCUACGGGUGAAAGCAUGGGAUCUUCGGACCUUGCGCGAUUGAAUGCGCCGAUGUCGGAUUAGCUAGUUGGAGGGGUAAAGGCACACCAAGGCGACGAUCCGUAGCUGGUCUGAGAGGAUGAUCAGCCACACUGGAACUGAGACACGGUCCAGACUCCUACGGGAGGCAGCAGUGGGGAAUAUUGGACAAUGGGCGCAAGCCUGAUCCAGCCAUGCCGCGUGGGUGAAGAAGGCCUUCGGAUUGUAAAGCCCUUUUGUUGGGAAAGAAAAGCAGCAGGUUAAUACCCCGCUGUUCUGACGGUACCCAAAGAAUAAGCACCGGCUAACUUCGUG